AUUGUACGCUGGCGGCAGGCCUAACACAUGCAAGUCGAGUGGAGCGGCGGACGGGUGAGUAAUGCCUAGGAAUCUGUCUGGUAGUGGGGGAUAACGUCCGGAAACGGGCGCUUAUACCGCAUACUAUCAGAUGAUCCUCGGUCGGAUUAGCUAGUUGGGGGGGUACAGGCCUACCAAGGCACCGACCCGUAACUGGUCUGAGAGGAUGAUCAGUCACACUGGAACGUAGGCACGGUCCAGAAUCCUACGUGAGGCAGCAGAGGGGAAUAUUGGACAAUGGACGAAAGCCUGGUCCAGCCAUGCCGCGUGUGUGAAGAAGGACUUCGGAUUGUAAAACACUUUAAGUUGGGAGGCGUUACCAACAGCAUAAGCACCGGCUAACUUCGUGGCAGCAGCCGCGGUAAUAC
rnacentral:rRNA from 1 species